CCUACGGGGGGCAGCAGUGAGGAAUAUUGGUCAAUGGACGAGAGUCUGAACCAGCCAAGUAGCGUGAAGGAUGACUGCCCUAUGGGUUGUAAACUUCUUUUAUAUGGGAAUAAAAUGUUCCACGUGUGGGAUUUUGUAUGUACCAUAUGAAUAAGGAUCGGCUAACUCCGUGCCAGCAGCCGCGGUAAUACGGAGGAUCCGAGCGUUAUCCGGAUUUAUUGGGUUUAAAGGGAGCGUAGGUGGAUUGUUAAGUCAGUUGUGAAAGUUUGCGGCUCAACCGUAAGAUUGCAGUUGAAACUGGCAGUCUUGAGUACAGUAGAGGUGGGCGGAAUUCGUGGUGUAGCGGUGAAAUGCGUAGAUAUCACGAAGAACUCCGAUUGCGAAGGCAGUUCACUGGACUGCAACUGACACUGAGGCUCGAAAGUGUGGGUAUCAAACAGGAUUAGAUACCCUUGUAGUC
rnacentral:rRNA from 1 species